AAGUAAAGAACCCAGUGCAAGCCAUUUGCAGAGAGAUGCUUGAGAUACUCAACUGCCAGAGAAAUGAGAGCUUGCUCAAUGAGAACCCCACGUCGAAAAUACCAGACACAUGGAAAUACCUGCUGCAAAGAACUGAAUGGGCAAUAGAAGAUACUGGACCAACCCCCGGAGCAAAUAGGGCAACCCACCACAGCAUGGAACAACCUGGACCUAGCUAUUACCAGAAUAAUAAUACCCAGUAAGCAGACCCACUCGAAUGCCUCUAAAGGAACUAGGAUCUUGUAAUAUGUUCCUACCUAGUAUUUUGCUACGAGUGAAAGUUUAUAGAUUUCC
rnacentral:lncRNA from 1 species